GUGAAUCAUCAAAUUUUUGAACGCAAAUUGCACUUUCCUCGGAGAGUAUGCCUGUUUGAGGGUCAGCCUAUAAAAAAUCGACAUCGUUGCUGUUUCGCGGUGGCGCUCGUCGGAAAUUGGGUCAUCUUAAAUUAUUUUGGUUUUUAAGCGACUUAAAAUUUUAUUUUUGGUUCCCUUAUCGUUUCUACUAUUUAUUUCUUUACAUGUUUAAGGUAUCGAUUUUUAUUAGACGUGACCUUCAUAUCGGGUCGCGUUCAUAAU
rnacentral:misc_RNA from 1 species